GAUGAACGCUAGCUACAGGCUUAACACAUGCAAGUCGAGGGGCAGCAUGAACUUAGCUUGCUAAGUUUGAUGGCGACCGGCGCACGGGUGAGUAACACGUAUCCAACCUUCCGUUUACUCAGGGAUAGCCUUUCGAAAGAAAGAUUAAUACCUGAUAGUAUGGUGAGAUUGCAUGAUAACACCAUUAAAGAUUUAUUGGUAAACGAUGGGGAUGCGUUCCAUUAGGUAGUAGGCGGGGUAACGGCCCACCUAGCCGACGAUGGAUAGGGGUUCUGAGAGGAAGGUCCCCCACAUUGGAACUGAGACACGGUCCAAAACUCCUACGGGAGGCAGCAGUGAGGAAUAUUGGUCAAUGGGCGAGAGCCUGAACCAGCCAAGUAGCGUGAAGGAUGAAGGUCCUACGGAUUGUAAAACUUCUUUUAAUACGGGAAUAAAGUAUCCUACGUGUAGGAUUUUGUAUGUACCGUAUGAAUAAGCAUCGGCUAACUCCGUGCCAGCAGCCGCGGU
rnacentral:rRNA from 1 species